CACGUAGGGGGCGAGCGUUGUCCGGAUUUAUUGGGCGUAAAGAGCUCGUAGGCGGUUUCGUAAGUCGGAUGUGAAAACUCCAGGCUCAACUUGGAGACGCCAUUCGAUACUGCGAUGACAUGAGUCCGGUAGGGGAGUGUGGAAUUCCUGGUGUAGCGGUGAAAUGCGCAGAUAUCAGGAGGAACACCGGCGGCGAAGGCGGCACUCUGGGCCGGUACUGACGCUGAGGAGCGAAAGCGUGGGUAGCAAACAGG
rnacentral:rRNA from 1 species